UAGGGAAUCUUCGGCAAUGGACGCAAGUCUGUCCGAGCAACGCCGCGUGUGUGAAGAAGGUUUUCUGAUCGUAAAACUCUCUUGUUAGAGAAGAACAAGGACGUUAGUAACUGAACGUCCCCUGACGGUAUCUAACCAGAAAGCCACGGCUAUCUACGUGCCAGCAGCCCCGGUCAUACGUAGGUGGCAAGCGUUGUCCGGAUUUAUUGGGCGUAAAGCGAGCGCAGGCGGUUUCUUAAGUCUGAUGUGAAAGCCCCCGGCUCAACCGGGGAGGGUCAUUGGAAACUGGGAGACUUGAGUGCAGAAGGGGAGAGUGGAAUUCCAUGUGUAGCGGUGAAGUGCGUAGAUAUAUGGAGAAACACCGGUGGCGAAGACGGCGCUCUGGUCUGUAACUGACGCUUGGGCUCGAAAGCGUGGGGAGCAAACAGG
rnacentral:rRNA from 1 species